rnacentral:rRNA from 1 species
GAAGCACGUGACAUGACGGGUACGGGGAUUAGGGUUCGAUUCCGGAGAGGGAGCCUGAGAAACGGCUACCACAUCUAAGGAAGGCAGCAGGCGCGCAAAUUACCCAAUCCUAAUACAGGGAGGUAGUGACAAGAAAUAACAAUACAGAACUUUACGGUUUUGUAAUUGGAAUGAGUUAAGUAUAAACCCCUUAACAAGUAUCAAUUGGAGGGCAAGUCUGGUGCCAGCAGCCGCGGUAAUUCCAGCUCCAAUAGCGUAUAUUAAAGUUGUUGCAGUUAAAAAGCUCGUAGUUGGAUUUCUGCUAAUUUUUGCAUACAAUACCACGGUAUUUAUGUAAAAUUAGCAUAAUCCGCAUUACCUCGCGUAUGCGGAAUUUUACUUUGAGAAAAUUAGAGUGCUUAAAGCAGGCAAUUGCCUUGAAUACUCCAGCAUGGAAUAAUAUUAAGGAUUUUUAUCCUUUUUAUUGGUUCUAGGAUAAAAAUAAUGAUAAUAGGACAGUGGUUCAU